rnacentral:ncRNA from 1 species
ACGCGGGGUGCCGCGCCGGCGAAGGCCGUGGCUGAGAAGACACCCGUUGAACCUGAUCUAGCUAGCACUAGCGAAGGGACGUUGUGAAC